rnacentral:tRNA from 1 species
GCGUUCGUAGCUCAGCUGGAUAGAGCGACGGACUUCGAAUCCGUAGGUCGCAGGUUCGAGUCCUGCCGGACGCA